rnacentral:rRNA from 1 species
ACUCCUACGGGAGGCAGCAGUGGGGAAUUUUGGACAAUGGGCGAAAGCCUGAUCCAGCAAUGCCGCGUGAGUGAAGAAGGCCUUCGGGUUGUAAAGCUCUUUUGACAGGGAAGAAACGGUGAGAGCUAAUAUCUCUUGCUAAUGACGGUACCUGAAGAAUAAGCACCGGCUAACUACGUGCCAGCAGCCGCGGUAAUACGUAGGGUGCAAGCGUUAAUCGGAAUUACUGGGCGUAAAGCGUGCGCAGGCGGUUUUGUAAGUCUGAUGUGAAAUCCCCGGGCUCAACCUGGGAAUUGCAUUGGAGACUGCAAGGCUAGAAUCUGGCAGAGGGGGGUAGAAUUCCACGUGUAGCAGUGAAAUGCGUAGAUAUGUGGAGGAACACCGAUGGCGAAGGCAGCCCCCUGGGUCAAGAUUGACGCUCAUGCACGAAAGCGUGGGGAGCAAACAGGAUUAGAAACCCGAGUAGUCCC